rnacentral:rRNA from 1 species
UACGUAGGUGGCGAGCGUUGUCCGGAUUUACUGGGCGUAAAGGGAGCGUAGGCGGACUUUUAAGUGAGAUGUGAAAUACCCGGGCUCAACUUGGGUGCUGCAUUUCAAACUGGAAGUCUAGAGUGCAGGAGAGGAGAAUGGAAUUCCUAGUGUAGCGGUGAAAUGCGUAGAGAUUAGGAAGAACACCAGUGGCGAAGGCGAUUCUCUGGACUGUAAUUGACACUGAGGCGCGAAAGCGUGGGGAGCAAACAGGAUUAGAUACCCGUGUA